rnacentral:rRNA from 1 species
ACGGAAGGCAGCAGUGGGGAAUUUUGCGCAAUGGGGGCAACCCUGACGCAGCAACGCCGCGUGCGGGAUGACGGCCUUCGGGUUGUAAACCGCUUUCAGCAGGGACGAUUAUGACGGUACCUGCAGAAGAAGCUCCGGCUAACUACGUGCCAGCAGCCGCGGUAAUACGUAGGGAGCGAGCGUUAUCCGGAUUCAUUGGGCGUAAAGCGCGCGUAGGCGGCUUGCUAAGCGGAACCUCUAAUCCGAGGGCUCAACCCCCGGCCGGGUUCCGAACUGGCGGGCUCGAGUGCGGUAGGGGCAGGUGGAAUUCCAUGUGUAGCGGUGGAAUGCGCAGAUAUAUGGAAGAACACCGAUGGCGAAGGCAGCCUGCUGGGCCGUCACUGACGCUGAGGUGCGAAAGCGUGGGGAGCGAACAGGAUUAGAUACCCUGGUA